rnacentral:rRNA from 1 species
GCUAGCGGCAGGCCUAACACAUGCAAGCCGAGGGGUAAGUCUCUUUCGGGAGCACACGACCGGCGCACGGGUGAGUAACGCGUAUGCAACCUACCUUUGGCACGGGGACAGCCCGGGGAAACCCGGAUUAAUACCCGGUAUAGUCUGUUAUACACCUGUAUAAAAGACGAGAGCUACGGCGGCCAAAGAUGGGCAUGCGUGCCAUUAGUUAGUUGGUAGGGUAACGGCCUACCAAGGCAUCGAUGGCUACGGGGUCUAAAAGGAUGAGCCCGCACACUGGUACUGAGACACGGACCAGACUCCUACGGGAGGCAGCAGUGAGGAAUAUUGGUCAAUGGGUGGAAGCCUGAACCAGCCAUGCCGCGUGCAGGAAGACGGCCUUAUGGGUUGUAAACUGCUUUUCUACGGGACGAACGGCUCUGACGUGUCAGAGAUUGACGGUACCGUAGGAAUAAGCAUCGGCUAACUCCGUGCCAGCAGCCGCGGUAAUACGGAGGAUGCGAGCGUUAUCCGGAUUUAUUAGGUUUAAAGGGUGCGUAGGCUGGGCAAUAAGUCAGUGGUGAAAGUCCGCGGCUCAACCGUGGGAUUGCCAUUGAAACUGUUGUUCUUGAGUACAGUCGAGGUAGGCGGAAUGUGUAAUGUAGCGGUGAAAUGCAUAGAUNUUACCCAGAACACCGAUUGCGUAGGCAGCUUACCAGCCUGGAACUGACGCUGAUGCACGAAAGCGCGGGGAGCGAACAGGAUUAGAUACCCUGGUAGUCCACGCCGUAAACGAUGAUCACUCGCUGUUGGCAAUAUAGAGUCAGCGGCUGAGCGAAAGCAUUAAGUGAUCCACCUGGGGAGUACGUCGGCAACGAUGAAACUCAAAGGGAAUUGACGGGGGCCCGCACAAGCGGUGGUACAUGUGGUUUAAUUCGAUGAUACGCGAGGAACCUUACCUGGGCUUAAAUGUAGCCGGACGAUUCCGGAAACGGGAGUUCCUUAACGGCUGGUUACAAGGUGCUGCAUGGCCUGUCGUCAGCUCGUGCCGUGAGGUGUCGGGUUAAGUCCCAUAACGAGCGCAACCCUUAGUCGUAGUUGCCAGCGGGUAGAGCCGGGGACUCUAAGGAGACUGCCACCGUAAGGUGUGAGGAAGGUGGGGAUGACGUCAAGUC